UACGUAGGGUGCAAGCGUUGUCCGGAAUUAUUGGGCGUAAAGAGCUCGUAGGCGGUCUGUCGCGUCUGCUGUGAAAACUCAGGGCUUAACCCUGAGCUUGCAGUGGGUACGGGCAGACUAGAGUGCGGUAGGGGAGACUGGAAUUCCUGGUGUAGCGGUGAAAUGCGCAGAUAUCAGGAGGAACACCGGUGGCGAAGGCGGGGUCUCUGGGCCGGCACUGACGCUGGAGGAGCGAAAGCGUGGGGAGCAAACAGG
rnacentral:rRNA from 1 species